CCGGAACGGGACCCGAUUGGUCUGUCAUCUCAGAACUUUCAAAACAUCCAAAUGACGUAUGUUUCUCUCACAGUCAUGUAAAUAUAUCCAGGAAGAGAUAGACGGGCCAGCUUUAGCUCAGCGGUUACUUCGACAGUGGUUCAGUUCAUUACCAGCUAUUCGUAGCAGGUUCGAACAACACAACCAACCACUUACCUAACCCGUGAGUGUUUGGUUCGAGACCCGCGGGCGCUCCCUGGCCCUUUUGCCGCUGCGAAUCCGCGGAACUUUGGCUACUUUUGCAUGUUAAAAACCCUCAGAACUUCUUGAAUAAAUUGCAGUUUCAAAUACUGCACAUUUUAUGUA